rfam:Strongyloides papillosus strain LIN genome assembly, scaffold: SPAL_contig0000716
AAUUUCGUGAUGUAGUGGUUAUCACAUCUAUCUUACAUACAGAAGGUCGGCGGUUCGAUCCCGCCCGAAGCCA